rnacentral:lncRNA from 1 species
UGUGGUAACCAAAUUGGUGGCAAGUUUUGGGAAGUUGUGUGUGAUGAACACGGGAUUGAUCCCACAGGGAAUUAUGCUGGCAACUCUAAUGCUCAACUUGAGAGGGUUAAUGUUUACUACAAUGAGGCUAGUGGUGGUCGCUAUGUGCCUAGAGCUGUGCUAAUGGACCUUGAGCCAGGGACCAUGGACAGCUUGAGGACUGGUCCCUACGGGCAAAUCUUUAGGCCUGACAAUUUUGUUUUCGGCCAAAAUGGAGCUGGAAAUAACUGGGCUAAGGGACAUUACACUGAAGGAGCUGAACUGAUCGAUUCUGUUCU